AUGAACGCUAGCGACAGGCUUAACACAUGCAAGUCGAGGGGUAACAGGGUAGCAAUACCGCUGACGACCGGCGCACGGGUGAGUAACGCGUAUGCAACCUGCCUAUAACUGGGGAAUAGCUCCCUGAAAGGGGAAUUAACACCGCAUAACACUAUUGAUUCGCAUGGAUUGGUAGUUAAAUGUAGCGAUACAGGUUAUAGAUGGGCAUGCGUGACAUUAGCUAGUUGGUGAGGUAACGGCUCACCAAGGCUACGAUGUCUAGGGGUUCUGAGAGGAAGGUCCCCCACACUGGUACUGAGACACGGACCAGACUCCUACGGGAGGCAGCAGUGAGGAAUAUUGGUCAAUGGGCGCAAGCCUGAACCAGCCAUGUCGCGUGCAGGAAGACUGCCCUAUGGGUUGUAAACUGCUUUUAUAGUAGAAGAAACACAUUUACGUGUAGAUGUCUGCCAGUAUACUAUGAAUAAGCAUCGGCUAACUCCGUG
rnacentral:rRNA from 1 species